rnacentral:ribozyme from 1 species
AAAAACAUAAUGAUUUCUAAUUCUGUUUGAUUAGUUCGGGCAAAUCCGAACGAACGAAAGAAAAGAAAGAAAGAACGUUCGACGGAAGCGGUAUCACGCUUUAUUACCCCGGGGUAA